rnacentral:rRNA from 2 species
AGAGUUUGAUCCUGGCUCAGGACGAACGCUGGCGGCGUGCUUAACACAUGCAAGUCGAACGAUGAUGCCCAGCUUGCUGGGUGGAUUAGUGGCGAACGGGUGAGUAACACGUGAGUAACCUGCCCCUGACUCUGGGAUAAGCGUUGGAAACGACGUCUAAUACUGGAUAUGAUCACUGGCCGCAUGGUCUGGUGGUGGAAAGAUUUUUUGGUUGGGGAUGGACUCGCGGCCUAUCAGCUUGUUGGUGAGGUAAUGGCUCACCAAGGCGACGACGGGUAGCCGGCCUGAGAGGGUGACCGGCCACACUGGGACUGAGACACGGCCCAGACUCCUACGGGAGGCAGCAGUGGGGAAUAUUGCACAAUGGGCGAAAGCCUGAUGCAGCAACGCCGCGUGAGGGAUGACGGCCUUCGGGUUGUAAACCUCUUUUAGUAGGGAAGAAGCGAAAGUGACGGUACCUGCAGAAAAAGCACCGGCUAACUACGUGCCAGCAGCCGCGGUAAUACGUAGGGUGCAAGCGUUGUCCGGAAUUAUUGGGCGUAAAGAGCUCGUAGGCGGUUUGUCGCGUCUGCUGUGAAAUCCCGAGGCUCAACCUCGGGCUUGCAGUGGGUACGGGCAGACUAGAGUGCGGUAGGGGAGAUUGGAAUUCCUGGUGUAGCGGUGGAAUGCGCAGAUAUCAGGAGGAACACCGAUGGCGAAGGCAGAUCUCUGGGCCGUAACUGACGCUGAGGAGCGAAAGCAUGGGGAGCGAACAGGAUUAGAUACCCUGGUAGUCCAUGCCGUAAACGUUGGGCGCUAGAUGUAGGGACCUUUCCACGGUUUCUGUGUCGUAGCUAACGCAUUAAGCGCCCCGCCUGGGGAGUACGGCCGCAAGGCUAAAACUCAAAGGAAUUGACGGGGGCCCGCACAAGCGGCGGAGCAUGCGGAUUAAUUCGAUGCAACGCGAAGAACCUUACCAAGGCUUGACAUACACCGGAAACGGCCAGAGAUGGUCGCCCCCUUGUGGUCGGUGUACAGGUGGUGCAUGGUUGUCGUCAGCUCGUGUCGUGAGAUGUUGGGUUAAGUCCCGCAACGAGCGCAACCCUCGUUCUAUGUUGCCAGCGGGUUAUGCCGGGGACUCAUAGGAGACUGCCGGGGUCAACUCGGAGGAAGGUGGGGAUGACGUCAAAUCAUCAUGCCCCUUAUGUCUUGGGCUUCACGCAUGCUACAAUGGCCGGUACAAAGGGCUGCGAUACCGUAAGGUGGAGCGAAUCCCAAAAAGCCGGUCUCAGUUCGGAUUGAGGUCUGCAACUCGACCUCAUGAAGUCGGAGUCGCUAGUAAUCGCAGAUCAGCAACGCUGCGGUGAAUACGUUCCCGGGCCUUGUACACACCGCCCGUCAAGUCAUGAAAGUCGGUAACACCCGAAGCCGGUGGCCUAACCCUUGUGGAAGGAGCCGUCGAAGGUGGGAUCGGUGAUUAGGACUAAGUCGUAACAAGGUAGCCGUACCGGAAGGUGCGGCUGGAUCACCU